rnacentral:rRNA from 1 species
AAAUCCGGAAAAUCAAGGCUGAGGCGUGAUGACGAGGCACUACGGUGCUGAAGCAACAAAUGCCCUGCUUCCAGGAAAAGCCUCUAAGCAUCAGGUAACAUCAAAUCGUACCCCAAACCGACACAGGUGGUCAGGUAGAGAAUACCAAGGCGCUUGAGAGAACUCGGGUGAAGGAACUAGGCAAAAUGGUGCCGUAACUUCGGGAGAAGGCACGCUGAUAUGUAGGUGAAGUCCCUCGCGGAUGGAGCUGAAAUCAGUCGAAGAUACCAGCUGGCUGCAACUGUUUAUUAAAAACACAGCACUGUGCAAACACGAAAGUGGACGUAUACGGUGUGACGCCUGCCCGGUGCCGGAAGGUUAAUUGAUGGGGUCAGCGCAAGCGAAGCUCUUGAUCGAAGCCCCGGUAAACGGCGGCCGUAACUAUAACGGUCCUAAGGUAGCGAAAUUCCUUGUCGGGUAAGUUCCGACCUGCACGAAUGGCGUAAUGAUGGCCAGGCUGUCUCCACCCGAGACUCAGUGAAAUUGAACUCGCUGUGAAGAUGCAGUGUACCCGCGGCAAGACGGAAAGACCCCGUGAACCUUUACUAUAGCUUGACACUGAACAUUGAGCCUUGAUGUGUAGGAUAGGUGGGAGGCUUUGAAGUGUGGACGCCAGUCUGCAUGGAGCCGACCUUGAAAUACCACCCUUUAAUGUUUGAUGUUCUAACGUGGACCCGUGAUCCGGGUUGCGGACAGUGUCUGGUGGGUAGUUUGACUGGGGCGGUCUCCUCCUAAAGAGUAACGGAGGAGCACGAAGGUUGGCUAAUCCUGGUCGGACAUCAGGAGGUUAGUGCAAUGGCAUAAGCCAGCUUGACUGCGAGCGUGACGGCGCGAGCAGGUGCGAAAGCAGGUCAUAGUGAUCCGGUGGUUCUGAAUGGAAGGGCCAUCGCUCAACGGAUAAAAGGUACUCCGGGGAUAACAGGCUGAUACCGCCCAAGAGUUCAUAUCGACGGCGGUGUUUGGCACCUCGAUGUCGGCUCAUCACAUCCUGGGGCUGAAGUAGGUCCCAAGGGUAUGGCUGUUCGCCAUUUAAAGUGGUACGCGAGCUGGGUUUAGAACGUCGUGAGACAGUUCGGUCCCUAUCUGCCGUGGGCGCUGGAGAACUGAGGGGGGCUGCUCCUAGUACGAGAGGACCGGAGUGGACGCAUCACUGGUGUUCGGGUUGUCAUGCCAAUGGCACUGCCCGGUAGCUAAAUGCGGAAGAGAUAAGUGCUGAAAGCAUCUAAGCACGAAACUUGCCCCGAGAUGAGUUCUCCCUGACCCUUUAAGGGUCCUGAAGGAACGUUGAAGACGACGACGUUGAUAGGCCGGGUGUGUAAGCGCAGCGAUGCGUUGAGCUAACCGGUACUAAUGAACCGUGAGGCUUAACCUUACAACGCCGAAGGUGUUU